rnacentral:rRNA from 1 species
GGGCGUAAAGCGCGCGUAGGCGGCUAUUUAAGUCAGAGGUGAAAGCCCGGGGCUCAACCCCGGAACUGCCUUUGAAACUGGAUAGCUUGAAUCCAGGAGAGGUGAGUGGAAUUCCUAGUGUAGAGGUGAAAUCGUAGAUAUUCGGAAGAACACCAGUGGCGAAGGCGGCUCACUGGACUGGUAUUGACGCUGAGGCAGCGAAAGCGUGGGGAGCAAACAGGAUUAGAUACCCUGGUAGUCCACGCCGUAAACGAUGAUAACUAGCUGU